CAGGACUACCAUGCCUCCAAGGAAUUCAGGACAUAAAAUUACAGGAUUGGAGUGAAGAAUUGCUAUUAUAGAGGAAAUCAGAUCCUUACUUUAAGGGUUUGAAGACUAUGGAUGAAGUUACAGAGUCUCUUGUUUAUCAGCCAACUGUUGUAACUGUGGAUUCCAAGUAGCCAUAGGUUAACAAAGCGCUGAAGCAUAGACAUGGGAGUCAGACAGUUGCAAACUGCUCCAUGACACUGUCUGGUGCUACGAAUCAUCCUGCUCAGACUGAGGAGCCUCUCACUGUAAUAGAGGCAUGUGAAAAAUGUACAGAAUAAUUCUUCCAUCGAUUCGUUUCAACUUUUGACUGACCACAAACCACUCAACCCCCCUGAUAAAUAGCAAAGACUUGGAUUAUGUGCCAGUGAGUUGUCAAACACUACUUAGCACCUAAUGAGGUACAAUCCACAGACAUAAUACAGUGGUUGUGCCUGGAAAGUCCCAGGAAGCUGGUCUAGCUAGCUUUUGAAUGUGAUAGAUGUAUGAACAAUGCAAAUGGUUGAGAAAACUGAUUAUCAUUAUGAAAGAGGUCUGUAACACUUAAAAGCAAUGUCUAAUUCAUAAUUAUUAUUGCACUGGAUGCUACCAAAGAAUUUGAAAUGGGUAAGCGACUAAUUUAGGUAUAAUGAAAAUAUAAACAAUAAUACAUGGAUUUCUGUUACAGAAAGAAGUAUCACUAUCAAAUGUAAUGGAGAUUCCAUAGUUAAUCCAGAAAAAUAUUCUUAUGGAAUUUCAAGACUGUAGACAUUAUGGAUUAUGCUGAAGGAGCAAACAUGUCCAUUUGGUGGCUUCAUGUAGAGGAAAGAAUCCAAAUCAUUUCAGCUUUGUGUUGCUGACUGAUCUAUACACUCAGAUUACCUCCCUUUCAUAUCAAUAGCUUUGGCAUAUACCUCCCAUCGGCAAGUUGGGAAAACCUGACCCACAAAAUUGACCUUUUGACCCUACCCUAGUUAAAAAAUUAUAUUAGGUAUAACAGCAUUACAGAGUAUGAUGUUGGGGAACAGCAAUUUCUUCAUUUGUUUAAGAUCCUCUUGGCAGAGCCUUGCAAAUCUGCAGCUAUCCACUUUAUUUCUGUGGGUAUCUGCAUCCAUGGAUAUCAAUGAGGAUAUCUGUGGUUCAUUUUUUGUGGAUAUGGCUGCAGAGGCAAAUUUUGUAUCUAGAAACCUGCAAAUUUGCAGAUAUCCACAUCCAUGGAUGUCAAAAUGGAUAUCCGCUUUUGUGGAUACAGGUAUAGAUGUGGAUACAAGUUUUGUAUCCAUGAGAGCUCUACCUCUCAAGUGGAUUUUUACCCUGCACUUACUAUCCUUAAUACAAUGACUUGUAAAUUGUAAUUUAUUUACUGAGUUGUCCAAAGGCUCAAACUUUUCAAUACUGCCUUGCAUAUCUUUAUUUACUAAACUCCUCCUGCUUCUCUUCUCUGGAAAUCUAGCUUGCAGCAACUUCAUCCUCAGUUUGGGAUUCCUGGAUAAAUCUUUCUUCUUUCUGGUGCCUUGUGGAGUCAUUAACAUUUACAUGCCAACAUCUUCCCACUGAAAUGUUGUUGGUCCUUCUGGCACCUCUUCCCUCCACAUGUGCUUUUUAAAAAGCCAUCUUGAACCCUGUAAUCCCACACAGGAUAUUUUUUGCCCAUAUCUCACACAGCAAUUUGUUUCCUCCCCAAACUAAUGACACCUUUGCAACAUAAAUCAUAUUUAGCCCAUGAGAACAUCCAAUUAUCUAUAAGCUCUACAUUUUUAGCAAGCCUCAUUGCUAACAGUCAAAAUAGGACUUUAAAGAGUAAUAAAAUUAAUGACCAGAGUGUAAUAUACACAAUACAUGAUUGGAAAGCAAUUAGAAAACUCUCUUUCACUUAGCCACUCCUCAUCUAAAAUGUGACACAAGUUCCUGAAUCUUUAUGUGGUUUACAACCAAUGGGGGGGCGGGGGGAGAACUAAGCCACAGGGAGUGUGGGUUACUGUUGCACAAAUCAAAGUAACAUCAUGUUUUCUUUGGUGAUUUGUGUCUGCAGUGAGAUAGUUCAAGGCUCAGAUACCCAGAUUUUUCAGUUCAAAUGUGAAUGGCAAAGUUAUAGGUACAAAUGCUCUGAGGAGUAUCUCUCCACAAAAUGGAAGCUGCUCUUUAGGAAAUUUGCCUUUGAUGUUCACGUGGGUAACGACGUUAUGAUUUUUUCUGUUUCACAUUAUAAACCGCCUGUGCUGAUAGACUGGUCACUGCCCACUUAACACUCCCUUGAUGUCCCAAAUACAUUGUUUAGUCCCAACUACAUCCGAAAGAAUGUGAGGUCCCAAAUACAAUUAUUUAGUUUCAUACAGCACAUCUCAAUAUUCUGCAGGAGACAACAUUAUGAGCCAGACUAUGAUGGCCUCCCUAAUGCUGAGUAAAACUUCUGUCUACCAUUGCCCCAUUGACUUCAGUGGGACUAGUUUGUUGUAAGAUAUUAUUUAAGAUGAGUGAAAUGUCACAAUCUGGACAUUAGUGAUAAUUGCCUUCUCCCUAAAAAGCAAUAUCUUUUCAACAGAGAGGACAUUAACUGAAAUGUAAUGAUGUUAAACAUGCUUCAACUAACUUCUCUAUUAUCAAUUUGUGUUUGAGACAAUUCAAUGUUACAGAGGCCAUCAUUUGAUAAAAGAUCAUUUCUUUACAGCUUUUGCAAUUACAGUAUUUGCAAACUACAGUGAAAUGCUGACCUUUGAAUGGUGAACACUGUCUCUUGCCUUGGGAUGAUACAACUUACUUCAUACAGCAUAGGAUAUAUAUAUAGAGAGAGAGGCCUCGAGCCACACCAAAUUCUACUUAAAGGCUGGUGAUCUAAAAAUGGGUAGGCAAAACUGUUACAUAAAGAAAUGUUCAAAAUCUGCUUACAGCAGCUGGUAAGUA